rnacentral:misc_RNA from 1 species
UCGUAACAAGGUUUCCGUAGGUGAACCUUGCGGAAGGAUCAUUACUGAUUUGCUUAAUUGCACCACAUGUGUUUUUCUUUGAAACAAACUUGCUUUGGCGGUGGGCCCAGCCUGCCGCCAGAGGUCUAAACUUACAACCAAUUUUUUAUCAACUUGUCACACCAGAUUAUUACUAAUAGUCAAAACUUUCAACAACGGAUCUCUUGGUUCUCGCAUCGAUGAAGAACGCAGCGAAAUGCGAUACGUAAUAUGAAUUGCAGAUAUUCGUGAAUCAUCGAAUCUUUGAACGCACAUUGCGCCCUCUGGUAUUCCGGAGGGCAUGCCUGUUUGAGCGUCGUUUCUCCCUCAAACCGCUGGGUUUGGUGUUGAGCAAUACGACUUGGGUUUGCUUGAAAGACGGUAGUGGUAAGGCGGGAUCGCUUUGACAAUGGCUUAGGUCUAACCAAAAACAUUGCUUGCGGCGGUAACGUCCACCACGUAUAUCUUCAAACUUUGACCUCAAAUCAGGUAGGACUACCCGCUGAACUUAAGCAUAUCAAUAAGCGGAGGAA